UGUAUAAUAAUUUCUACAUUUAUAACCUAAAUCUAACAUUAUCAACUAUGUUAAUUAUUCUACUUGUUACUGAAGACAUGUCUGGAAGGUUUAAUUCCUGGCACAUAAUAUGUUCUCACUGAAUAAACAAUUAGUGAAGAAAGACACAGCAACAUCUAUAAGCAUCAAUUGGUUAUAAACUCCCUGAAAAUGUGUAGAAAAUAUUUAAUAAAUGUGCAGGUCGGAGCAAUACACAAACAUCUCAGAGUCUGAAAAGUGGAGUAGCCUGAUGACUUGGUGUCCUUCAAUAUAUUCUCAAUAUAUCUGUCCAGCAUUAUUGUAGAGCUGGAACAGAUUACUCUGCUUCAGGGAAAGUAAAGAAAUGAAGCACUGGCAGCAACAGUCAUCCUUUAUCUUCUGUCCUGGACUGCAGCCCUACCCUAGUAUAUAAUCCCUUCAGUAAAUAUUGAAUCUUGCUGUUAACUGCAUCCAACCUCUUGAGAAGGUAGUUAUAAUGCCUUUUGAGGCUACCUCAGCUUCUGCCUUUGGGCAAGGUCUCUAGAUCUGAUCACAAUGGCACCCAGCCAAGAGGACAAAUACAUGUGGAAAACCAGUUUGUAUUUAGAUUCCUGAACUUACCUACAUGUCCAUCUGGAUCCACUUAAAGGAAGCAGGAUGCACCAAAGUGCCAUAGAGGUGACAGGUGGCCCCAAAUCUUUGACAUUACCCCUCCUUUCCCAAGAGAAUUAUGAUAAUGAUACUUCCAGCUCUUACAGGAUGAUCCCUAAGAAUUCUCCUAAAGCAAUUCUUCUCUAGGUCAACAUAUUACUUGUGUCAUGUUACUGCUACUCUUAGAUGAGCACCUUGGGUAACCGCUCAGCAGGCCACUACCAAACCCGAUUCAUGAAUGUGCAUUUGAAAAUUUUUCUGGGGCAAGGGGACAUAGCUUUUUAUCAGGUUUGCUAAGGUGUUUACAUCUCAAAAUAAUUGGAAACUACUUUCAUAGGAUACUGUGAACCUGGGUGAUAUCAUCAGGACUCACUCAUUGAAUUGAUAACGAGGGGAAUGGAUAUGUCAUCUAUCUGUCGUAGUUUAUUACAUUGAAAAGAAUAAGGACUUUGGCUUAACUAUAUUCUUUCUCAAUAGUUACGUGAUCUUGGCAGGAUAUAACAUUUCUAAAUGUAUUUUGUCAUUUAUAAAAUUCUAAACCAAUAAGCAUUUAAGAAGAGGUAUUUAUCAUCUCAACUUAGAAUAAUUCUCUUUCAUAUAUUAAAUAUUAUUUAGAAGCCAGUGUUUUUUAAUUUAUACCAUAAAAUCAUUUGGGGCCAAUGUACUGUGGUAUGUUUAUACUUACAAAUUAAUACAUCAUGAAUGCUGAAAACUCUAUUUGGUUAGUGAUGGUAAAAACUAAUAAUUAUAUUCACUAAUCCCACCAGACCAUAGAGUCACGGUGUUAUGGUACAGAAAAUAAUAUUCCUUUAAACAAAUUUGUUUUUAGGUCAGCUUAAGAUAAGUUAUGAAACAAAUCUCAUGAUCUAUGAAUUGUUUGUUAACAUAAACAUGGCAAUAAAUAUUACUCCUUUAGUAAACAACUAUGUAUUUUAACCAAGAUAUUUUACUUUUUAAACCCAUUCCAUGGGGAUCCCUGGGUGGCUCAGUGGUUUGGCGCCUGCCUUUGGCCCAGGGCGUGAUCCUGGAGUCCCCGGAUCAAGUCCCACAUUGGGCUCCCGGCAUGGAGCCUGCUUCUCCCUCUGCCUGUGUCUCUGCCUCUCUCUCUCUCUCUAUUUCUAUCAUGAAUAAAUAAAUAAAUCUUAAAAAAAAUAAAUAAACCCAUUCCACGUGUUAGCAGUUUGUCUAGCAGAUUUGAGUCACUACAUUAUCCUUUUGUCUGUCUAAACUGCCUGGGCAAUUACUAAUUUUCAUGCUUCUGUACUUUCCUAAUCAUGCAAAGUUGAGAGACUAAACAGUACAAGCAAUAUCUACACAGGUUUUAUAAACCUUUUUAAAUAAAAACAUAUAAUAUUUGUACAUCAAGUUUUAUAAAACUUAUUUGUACCCAGUUUCUGAGAAGAAUUACUAUUUCUAAGGAAACGAAAACUAUGCUAUGAUUUUUUUAAUUAUACAAAUUACAAACUAAAAACAAGAUGCCUACUUCAUCAAGGCACUAAUUUUUAUGAAAUGCAAAAGAAGUAUUUAAAUUCAUAUUUUAUUUCAUAUGGAAAGAAUAUUUUUGACCCCAAAAGAAAUAUCCCAUACACUGACAAAAAAAAGGGAUUUGAACUGCAAAUGGGUAAGGGAUUUUAAGCAGAUAUCUAACUACUCUAAUUUAGUUGAAGUUUUCUUACACAGACUAAUUCUAUCACAGUGUUGUACAUGUGAGUCAACGAUUUCAUCAAUGACCCCUGGGAAAUACUGAAAUGGGACAAGGCUGCAUCACUGGCAGUGAGCUCAAAUGAGCUUCAGCCUUCCACCAGCUUUCUGUUGAUUCCGAAUGAAAUCACAUACUAUAAAUGGAAUGGUUAAGAGCUUCUUCAGGGAAGGGGUCACAAAGAACCAACAUGGUCUUACCAAAAACCAUUUAACAGCUAAACACUUUCUCCUGCUUCAAAAUAGAGCCAAUAACUAAUAUACUACACUAUAUACACAUGUUCACUCUUCUUCCCUUUUCAUGAACUCAGACAAUUCCACUUACGUAGGCAAAGCAAAAAUACUUCCUUUUCUCCAUCAAUCACUCAGAAUUCUCCUGUUUUUCUCUCCUAAUCUUCUCCCAUUCCAUCUCGUUUCUUUGCAGCUAUAUGAUUUUUCUCUGGAUUUUAGACCUGAUCUUGUAGUUAGUACAGCGUUUUUCUGACUUUGACUUUUGAAACCUCAAUAAAGGUUGUGAUUCUGGGCUCAGCUUUUUAUCGAGCCUGCUCCUGGUUUUCUUGGAGACACUGCCACUUAUCAUCAUUACUCCUCUAGUUGAUGGUCCUGACUGACCUGUGCCCAGAGGAAUGAACAGAUAUAAUCAUUCUAUGUUUUUCAGCAAGGCAUUUACUGAUUUUUUCCUCAUGGUAACUUUGUAGGCAACAUGCAGCUAAGGAAAUAUGUUAAAUGCUGCUAAGGUAAGAUGAAUUAGAAGUAGGCACAAGAAUGAAAGGUGUAGAAUAAUGGGUCAGUGCAUAGUCUCCUGGUAGCUUGCCUUGCAUGUUCUCCCCUCCUAGUUUCAAUGUUUCAUCACUGAUUCAGGGAGAAUUAUUAUCAAAUCUACAGAAGACAAAUUUGGGAACCUAAGCUGAUAGAUACAUGGGCUAACUGAAUAAGGUUCCAAAAGACUGCUUAACAAGUUUGAGAGCCACAGACUGACUCUAACAUGAAGCAUUAUACCAACUAUAAUGCAAAAAAGAGGGAAAAAAUGUAUACACGAGAGUGAUAUGAAAGCUAGCAGCUUUUGUACCAAAAGGAUUUGCAAUUUUCCUUGACAGCUCCUUGUGAGUAAAUAGCAUAAUGAACCUGCCAAAAAGCUAAUGUAAUCUUUGUAUUACUUAGUCACAUUUAGAAUACUUGAAAUGAUAGUAUAGAUUUACCAGUGACCAUAAAAAGUCAGAAAAGGAAAUGAAAAUGUAUUAAACCACGAGGGUAUCGUAUGGAAAUAUUUUAGACACUUGCAUAUUGAGUUCUCACAACCUGUACAAGAUAUGCACUGCUAGUGCCAUUUUACAGAUGAAACAAUCAAAUGUCAGAGAACUUCAAUCUCCCAAGAUCACAGGUACUAAAGUCUGGAAACAGUAUUUUAAGCCAUGUCUGUAUGAAUCUAAAACAUACGGGUUUUACACCACACAAAUGGAUUAAGGUAUUCAAACGGAAAUGAAUAUCAUUUCAUCCUGGUGCAUCCUGGAAGCCACUCCCCAACCAAAACAGGAAAGGAACUAAUGUGUUAAGACUAGGCAAGAGAUUUACAUUAGACAAGAUCUUUAUAUUGAUAUACUUCAAAAGUGACCGAGUUACUAGUCUCUGGGAGAUUUAGCAUAGGCUAAUGAACAUUUUGUGAAAUGUACGCGUAGGCAGGUGUUUAGACUUGGUAGUUUUUAGGGUAUUUUUCAAUGGAAAGAAUGUCUGAUUCUAAAAUAUUUAUGACUGACAGGUUUCCAAAACUGAAGCAGAAAGCUUAAGUAUGAGAAAAGAAGAUAAAUGACACUGGAAAUUCAUUUAUCUUAGAAUAUUAGAAUACUACUAUUCUUAGUAAUUAAUAUGCAUACUGAGCCUGUACAGCAUCUGAAUCAGAUAGGUACCCUGAAAUGGGUUUGAAAGAACCAGAAGACUUCGAAGUAAUCCUUUGUAUAUAAAAUUGCUCUGGACCAGUAACUUAAAAUUAAAACUUAAUCCAGUAUAAUCUCUUAAUGAUUUUAUUCAAAUUAAUGAAUUUGAACUCCUAGUAUCCUACUUAUUUGAUACAGUA
rnacentral:lncRNA from 1 species